UGGGAAAAAUUCGAUCCUGGAGUACGGGCUAUGGACGGAGGAAGAGGACUAAAGGGUGAAACUGACAAAAGUCCCCCGUUAGGCCUCAGCGUUCGCCUUAGGAUCUGAUCCAUGAGAUGUCCAGGUCGCUUCUGCCACCGAGUGGUGGCUUUGCUUCAUGGCAAGAGGCCUAGGUGGAUUCUAGAGUGGAAGAGUCAGGUCAGAAGGGAUUCAGAUCACAGCCAGAUGAAGUCAGGGUUUGUCAAUGAGGCAGAUGAGAUUCUGAUUUGAUGGACAGCCAGUCAAUGAAACAGACACACCUGCACAGUUGGAAAUGGAGGACGAAGAUACAAUUGAUGUGUUCCAGCAGCAGACAGGAGGUGUGUACUAAAAAGGGAACCUGCAACAACUCUACUUCAGAACUCUGUUCUUACAGACCAAGAAUACAUUCUCAAUUAGAAAACUGCAAUUUGGUUCCACGACAUCCUGACUACUAUAGUAUAGUUUUCUCUAUUCUUUCGUUUACCCCUUCCUCAUUCCUUUAUUGUACAUAAAGUAUCUGGUGUAUGUGCACAA